rnacentral:misc_RNA from 1 species
GUCAUUUGAAAAGCUUCGCCUGGUAAGAACUGAUAUCUCUUCUUUACUUCAUUGUUGGUUCUUAAUCAGGAUUUAGAGGACUAAAUCCCCAUGAAUUAUAAUUGUCAUCCAGAUUGAAGCAAGUAUCUGCUUGGUCUUUUGUGUUCAGUGCCACCAAUAGUUGUUUUGUACUUUUGUCACAUUUUCUUAAAGAAACAUAAUUUAGCUUCAGUCUUUUGUUUGUACUAUAUACUAUGAGUUGGUGUGUCGUUUUCAGUUGGUUCCUAACCCAAAUACCUAAUGUUAAUUGUUUUUAGAUGAAAAGAAAUAAUUUAUUAGUAAGAGAAUGGAAAUUACUUGAGGAAGUUCCUCUAAUUGAUGCAAAAGAUAAAAAAAAACAAAAGGAAAAGAAAAGGCCAAGCCCUCAAAUCUCACUGUUAUUGCCUAGGGACACCUCUUUAAAACCCCUGAAGCAGAAAGCCAUAGAAGAACUUUUAUGUGAAUUAUACAUGUGUUCCUUUUCAAUUACUGGUUUUUGAGUUUACAUUUCUGAUUAUGGAAUUUGUUCCUAUUUUAUUUGAAAUUCAGGGAUUUUUGUUCUUUAUUCCGUUGCUUACAAGUGCAAUACUUUCAAAUGGCAAUGAAUUUCAUAUAUUAAGUCUGUUCAGCAUUGCUGUAACUGCUAUUAAGAAGAGCUCCAAUUUGAAUACAAUGAUUAAAUACAUUGACUUAAGCACAAUUAAACAAAUUAUUGUUAACAUAGAUUUUGACUUGGUCAUAAAAACUCCAAAACAUCUAACCAAAGUUGUCUGAAACAACUCAUUUGAAACAUCACCAUUUCAGAUAGUAGUUGCAUUCUCAAUAACAAACAGUCACUAAGCGAUUAAAGGAAAGUGCAUGAAUAAACUAUUUAUUCAUGAAGCAUGAGGGGUAGUGGCUGUCAAUUUCAUUUUGCACAGCAGCCUGAGUUGUUCAUUUGUUCUGGUGUCUAUUUAUCUUCCCUAUCUAUCUAUGUGUAUCUUAUGCUGACAUUUGUUCCUGCACAUUGGAAACAUAUGUGCCAAGUUUUAUAAAAAGUGAACAUCUAGAGUAUUUCAGUAAUCAUUUUUAACUUUCUUCAUCUGGAAAAUCAAUUGCGGAUGUGGUCUUGGAAAAUAUAAAAAUAAUUUGAGUUCACACUCUCGUUAGUCAACUUUCACCAGGAUUGGAAACAAUAAUUUUGAUUUCUAGAUGGUGGACAUGUUGGUAAAAUAAAUUGAUGAUAGGGUUAGUUUUUGUCCCUUACUAGGUACAGUGUAGGAUAUUAAACUACAUAAGAUUAGUACUGUGCUGUGAACGAAACUGAAUUUGAGAGGAGAAUCAGUGAUACGGUAUUGGAAGAAGAGUCAACUUAGGAAUUAUAUUCAUUAAAGAAUUAGAAAGUUUACAUUUUUAUUGUUUUGGAAUUCUGUUAUUAUUUACGAAUAUUUGAGAGUUGUAUUAGGUUUAGCAUUUUAUUUAGGAAGUUUGAGUUU